CCCCCUAGCAAUGGCCAAAGAGACACCUUGCUGUUGGUGUUCUUACAUCAGUCAAGGGCAGAGCAGAUGGCAGUCCUUUUUCAUCCUAGCUUGAUGCCUGGCUUGGUGGUCAAAGCUGUUUUAUGUUUAGGACUCAUAA